UACGGAGGGAGCUAGCGUUGUUCGGAAUUACUGGGCGUAAAGGGCGCGUAGGCGGCACGGCAAGUCAGGAGUGAAAGCCCUGGGCUCAACCCGGGAACUGCUUUUGAAACUGCCGAGCUAGAGUGCGGAAGGGGCAACUGGAAUUCCCAGUGUAGCGGUGAAAUGCGUAGAUAUUGGGAAGAACACCUGAGGCGAAGGCGGGUUGCUGGGCCGACACUGACGCUGAUGCGCGAAAGCCAGGGGAGCGAACGGG
rnacentral:rRNA from 1 species